rfam:Toxocara canis scaffold116, whole genome shotgun sequence.
GCGGCAGUAGCUCAGUGGUACAGCCCCGCUUCGCAUGCGGGGAGACCUGGGUUCGAUCCCCGGCUGCUUCC